UACGUAGGGGGCAAGCGUUGUCCGGAUUUAUUGGGCGUAAAGCGCGUGUAGGCGGCCAGAUAGGUCUGCUGUGAAAACUCGAGGCUCAACCUCGAGCUGUCGGCGGAAACCAUCUGGCUAGAGUCCGGAAGAGGAGAGUGGAAUUCCUGGUGUAGUGGUGGAAUGCGUAGAGAUCCGGAGGAACACCAGCGGCGAAGGCGGCGUCCUGGACUGGUACUGACGCUCAGGAGCGAAAGCGUGGGGAGCAAACAGG
rnacentral:rRNA from 1 species